rnacentral:rRNA from 1 species
CAAACCAAAGCUGGCGGCCGGCGCACGGGUGAGUAACACGUAUCCAACCUGCCUCAUACUCGGGGAUAGCCUUUCGAAAGAAAGAUUAAUAUCCGAUAGCAUAUAUUUCCCGCAUGGGUUUUAUAUUAAAGAAAUUCGGUAUGAGAUGGGGAUGCGUUCCAUUAGUUUGUUGGGGGGUAACGGCCCACCAAGACUACGAUGGAUAGGGGUUCUGAGAGGAAGGUCCCCCACAUUGGAACUGAGACACGGUCCAA